rnacentral:lncRNA from 1 species
AGUUAUGCUACGGACCAUUUAAAAUUAAUUACGAUUUUCGAUUCAUUCAAUUAUAUUUCAUUAAAAAUACCCCUCUAGAAAAUUCUUUGGAGACGCCUAUUUAAUCGCCUAGGUGCCUAUUUUCGCAGCGAAGCAAGAGGAAAGCACCGCGCAUGUUUCUAUCGGAUCGAUACGAAUCGAUUUCCGAUAACAUUGAACAGCAGUUGGUCAGGAAACGGCUCGAAGGGCGGAUGGCGCGCCGCUAGUAAGGUUAUUCCCCCUUUUAAGUGACGGGAUUGAAACAAAUUUUCGAUGGAAAUCAAAUAAUUAGAAGGAAAUCAAGCGUCAGCUAAUCCCAUCUACAAAACUAGAUAACCAAAGUUAAACAUCUCUUUGGACUUCUUCACAUAACAGAAGUGGAUAUUCCGGCGUGCCUGCCUUGUUUCAAUCCCGUAACUUAGUUAUUUAGUCACACAACGUGACUCUAUCACGUUGAUUAUGUACUACCUAGUUAGAUUGCUAGCCACUCUGUGAUGGUUUAUCCCUAGAGUGGGCUGUUUUUGUUGGAUAAUACACCAUACCGGAUUUUAUUACAACCAGCAUCUUCACCCAGGACCUUGCAGUAGGACUUACUCACCACAGCAGCCAACCAUUUUAUCGUGCCAAAAGGGAAUUUCCUACGGAAUUCAUCUCUAUGGACUUGCAACCCUACUUUUAACCGACUGUUAUGUAAAAGCUAAGUUUAUUUACUUUUUCUGUAUUUACUUUUGGGUAAGAUAUAUUUGCUACAUUGUAAACUUUUCGUAUGCAUACGAUUAGGAAGAGUACAUAUAUUUUCGUGAUAGAUAGGGUUUUAGGUUGUUGUUUUUUUUUCUUUUUGAUUCAGUAUAAGUAGGAGUUAGUUAAAAUAAAUAAAAUCAGGUCUUGUUUAAUAAUCAUAAAUAAUUGUAUCUUAAAAUUUAAUAGGGAAUCGGGUUGUAAAAUUUUGUCGCGGAUUUUAAAAUAGGGAAUACGUCUAGUAGGUUUUUUUUGUAUAAUAUAUAAAGAGUCACUGACCAACUCAUUUAUAUAGACCUUUUUGCUAUUCCAACGGACUUUUGAUUUGGAUUUUGAUUUUAAUACUUUUGUUUGGCCGGUGAUAGUGGAUAAUUGCUUGUUGAGUGGCCUUUGCGGUCCUAUUUUAUCUUUUCCCCAUCCACUAUCACUGUUAUUACGUUGCGUUAUAUGUAAAGUGUUAUUAUUUAAUAUUUAUUAUUAAUAUAUUUGUAUGUAUUAA